rnacentral:lncRNA from 1 species
UCCAACUUAUAUCUAAUUUAAAACUAAAUAUCACAACCACGUCACGGGAACCGUACCUGUAGUUGUAAUAAUAUAAUUAAGUGCCUAAAGCAAGCUACGACGUUUGAACUAUUCCCUAAAAAAAACUAAAAUCGAACGAGACAAAUAAUUACCUACAUUAAAUUGAUCAAAACUGCUCCUACCAAUUUGAGAUAUCCAGCUUAACGGAAGGGAAAGGGAUUAGACAUGAUUAAUGUAGAAUUUUGUGAACACCUGUGAGUAUUUCCUCGUAGCAACUUUUAACCAAAUUGUCAGAUACAUGAAAUGCAAUGACAACUAAAUUUGUAAUCUACAUGUAGCAUUCUGGAUUCAGCAAUUCAUUUAGAGAAAUCAAAUUGGUAAUACCAAUAUCCGACUGAACAAUUAGUAAAGCCAAGUCCAACAGGCAACACCUGAACAAGUUAAACCAAAUCUACUAGCAACAGAGCAAAAAUAUAAAUCAGAACCAACAGAAGGAACAGUUUAAGCAUUCUUUGACUCGAUCCGUGUCAAACUCCUACGGUCAUUCUUAGCCAAAUUCAUGAUUCCAGGGCAUUAAGCAAAACUGAAAUAGCAACUUAUGACAAAUGAAAUGGCACUCAAGCACACACAAGGGUUAAACAGGGCCAACUGAAGCAUGGCCAUCCCACACGAUUUAACAGGACCUGGUACCUAAAGUGCAAUGUUUAUCAGAAUGGACAAAGGCGCAUAGCUCAACUAGCAAAUGCAAAAUGAUCUCAAAGGAAACAAAUCCACACUAUUACACAAGCUUCAUAUGAUAUUUUGUUUAAGGAGUUUAGUGAUAGAAUCAUGCUAAAAACAAACAUGAACACCCAUUGAUCCUUCCAACAUGAUCUGUGUCUGCAACUAGCACAUAUGAUCUUUUAAACUAAGAUCAGCACAUGGAAUUGAAGAUAUGAAAAUAAAUUGCAUUGAAUGCAGAAUGACACCUCACUUCCUUGGAUUCUCUAUUAAUGGUCCACUCUACACUCUUACCUCAUACAGUCACAGACAUUCACAGAUCGAAGAUGCAGAAGAAGAAGUAAGACUAGCCAGUGUGCGAGUUACUAAGCAAUUGAGAAAAGCACCUCACAAAAUUUUUGAAAUUCACGAGCCCUCUAAUUCAAGUUUGAACUUCAGCAGCUUCAAACCAACAAAACAUGCGAAAAUGAUCAUGAAAUCAGAGAAAGGGGAAACUCUUCAGUGAUUCAUGUCGAACAUAUUGAGACCAAGACAGAAGAUACAAGAAGAUUAACUUGAAUAUCAAAUCAUAUCAUAUGCAACAGCAGAAGCACAAGAAAAUCUCGUCUUAUGAAGCGAUCGUUCCUUAACAACAUGACAAAAAAUUCUGACCAACAACACUUUGAAAAAAAACAACUGUUCAAGUAAAGAGGGUGAUUCUAGUUUGAAGCUUCUAGUAAAUGAGGAAGAUUUCACAAGAACAAAUCAUUUAUAGUCCAAAAAACAAACAUCACGAGAAUAAGAAUCCUAGAUUCAUGCUCGCUUAAAAAUCACAAAAAGCUGAAGACAUCGUUCAUUUGAAAGCGAUGAAAUCUUGACUCAAUAUAUAUUUCGACCCCGUAAUAACAGUUACAGCAUACAGGGAAUAGAAGACGAACACUCAAACCAGCUUUUAUUAGUUGACCACAUUUAGCACAUAUCAAAUAUCAUUUCCGAAUAUGAAUCGGGACUAAAUGAUAAAUCCAAACUCGACUCCUUCAUGAGGUUUGAUCACAGAACAAAGAACAAACCAUUCUAAAGACAGAAAUCCCAUAGCUCAAGAACAUCUCAAAAACAAAGUUACAUGGGAGAAAAGAUCAAACCUGAAAUGGCAAACUUCUUUUAAUAAUUAUAGACUCAAUAAUACACCUUUUGACUCCAAAUCCUAGCGAGGUUCAGCAGCAAAUCAGCAGGAAAACAGUAGCAAAGCGAAGUCAACGAACUUGAACCUCACGACCAAUCGAUAGACCUUAGUUCAUUUUUCAUGCCUUUGGAACUCAAAGUCCGAUUGAAAAAUUAAGAAAAAUUGUAUGUUCUUCUUCAAACCUUUAAAAGAAACUUUUAGAGAAGAGAAAUGAGAAGAAGAAAAAAAUCCUUAAACCUUUCCUCUCCAAUUUUUUACCCCAAAAUUCUCUGUCCUCUACAAAAUCAGAUGAGGUCCCUUUUUAAAAACGAACAGCUGAUGAAUGUGAGGCUUGGAUUGAGUGAAAUGGAUCCAACACCUCUCACUCAUCCAACGCUCGCCCUCAAGAACCUUCCAUCGCGUGAUAUAGCUCGAAAUCGGGGGAGUCAGGGAGGGGGAAUCUUUUUGGUGUCAGAAACCGUUACACCUAUGUGGCAAGGGGAGAGAGGGGGGAAGCGUGUGAGGUGAGUUAGGGGGUGAACUCGGGCGAGUUUGGGCGAGGCAGAGGUGAGUUUUGGUGAAAGAGAAUAUGAACAAUGAGGGCACCGCUUGAGUCUUG